rnacentral:rRNA from 1 species
AACGAACGCUGGCGGCAUGCCUAACACAUGCAAGUCGAACGAGACCUUCGGGUCUAGUGGCGCACGGGUGCGUAACGCGUGGGAACCUGCCCUUAGGUUCGGAAUAACUCCCCGAAAGGGGUGCUAAUACCGGAUAAUGUCUUCGGACCAAAGAUUUAUCGCCUUUGGAUGGGCCCGCGUUGGAUUAGCUAGUUGGUAGGGUAAAAGCCUACCAAGGCGACGACCCAUAGCUGGUCUGAGAUGAUGAUCAGCCACACUGGGACUGAGACACGGCCCAGACUCCUACGGGAGGCAGCAGUGGGGAAUAUUGGACAAUGGGCGAAAGCCUGAUCCAGCAAUGCCGCGUGAGUGAUGAAGGCCUUAGGGUUGUAAAGCUCUUUUACCCGGGAUGAUAAUGACAGUACCGGGAGAAUAAGCUCCGGCUAACUCCGUG